rnacentral:snRNA from 1 species
AGCUUUGCGCAGUGGCAGUAUUGUAACCAAUGAGUUUUAUCCGAGGCACGAUUAUUGCUAAUUGAAAGAAAAAAUAAUGGCCCCAAAGUGCAAGAGUAGUCAUGCU